rnacentral:lncRNA from 1 species
UCCCCUCAACCUCUCUCCAAUUCUCUCCACCUGCACAUAGGGAGAUAGAUCUUGAGUACAUGUGGUUUGAUGAAAAUAUAUAUCCACAAAAAUAUGUAUGAUAAAAGUAGUUUAUUCAUAUUAUGAAUGUAACUAAAUCGUUGAGCCAAAACCAGCUAAGAUCUAGAUUAAUUAAUUAAUGUUAUACCUAGCCUAGGUCACAUGGAGUAUUAUUUAAUGGAGUCACG